AUACUGGGGCUAAUUUUAGGUAUUACCCGCUUUGGAGUUUAUUUUGGCUUCCAGAAGUUUACAUUUAGGUCUGUAAAAAAGCACAACCUGCAGAGCUGUGUGUGUGUGUGUGUGUGUGUGUGUGUGUGUGUGUGUGUGUGUGUCUGUCUGUGCAUGUGAAACUCAUCAAACUUCUUUAAUAACUCUGAAUAUGACUUGUUUGGGCAUAUUUUCAAUGGAUGGCUAAUUUUGUGCCAGAAUUCAAAUGGAAAUUUAAACCAAAAGAGCUUGCAGAUAAAUAGCAGAGAUUGCUUGCUUUUCACCCCAUUUCUUCUGGUGGUAACUUUUCAAUUGUGAUUUUUUUUUUUAACCCUCCAUAUUUUUUUUUUGCCAGACUUUGAUUUCUAAAGCUUUAUUUUUAGUCUUUGUAAGGCACAGCAUUGAUUGAGCAUGCUGUGUUCUAAUUUUGGUAGCAAUUUUGUAGGUUAGCUCAGUUUCAUAGAAAUUAGAAAGCUGGGGCUCAUGGAAGUGACUUAUUUUAUCCACGUAGCAGGGGGUGGCAGAGUGGAUGACGCCAGGGUCUGUGCUUCUUCAUCUCAAGGCUGGUGCUGUUUCCUUGGUGGGGCUCCAGGUCAAGUGUGGUCUGCAUUAAGGUCCUCCCUGGGGGAUGCUUGUGAAUGACCUGGGUGUGCACAGAGCAGAGUGGGGCUCCAGAGCCUGUACAUGUUGCUGGGUGUGCAGUAAACACACAGAAAACAGUAUAUGCCCACCCUGCUCGUGAGGAGGGAGUUGCUGAGUCUACACUCUGUGCCAUCUACCAUGCAAUUCACCACAGUAAUUUCGAAUAGCUUCUUGGGUCUUGCAUCAUUUGUGAAAGUGAAGCAAACCUUCCUCUACUGUACAGAGACUGUAAGCACACCAAGGGGAGUUUCUGGACGACUAGAGGACAUCUGAGGAGCACGGCUAAGCCCCAAACCUUCCUUAGGACUACUGUGAACCCCUAUACUUCUGCAGCUACAGUUCCAAAUUUCUGGGCUCCGUCCCAACAAAACGUCUAGAAAAAUUUGCUCUAUUUUUGAUCCUCGUUUUUUUUUUUUUUUUUUUUUUUUUUCUCAUUUCAGAACAGUGAUGGCUUUUCCAGGUAAAGCAUCUUGUUACCUUAUAAGUUUCAUUAAAUAGAUGGCCUUUGAACUAGACCUUGCAGAAUGGGUAAAAUUUAUUUUGGAAAAGAAGUGAAAGAGGGCUAUCAGAGAGUGUUUUCAUGAAUGUAUAAGCCUGGAAUCUGGAUGUCUUUGAUAAGGAGCGAUAAAAGGGUACAUUUGGGUGUGGAUUAAUUCACUUACUCAGUAUAUACAUAUAUAUAGAAACCACAAUUUGAUACGGGAAAUAUAGCAAAGGAUUAGACCUGGUCCAGCUCUCAUGAUGUUCAGAGACAGUGAUGGUUCCGGGGGCAGAGAGACGCAGUGGACAUCAAGAGGUGGGCUAAUUCAUUAUUUGAAGACUCUUCAAUGACACACAAAGGAGUUUGAAUUUUAUCCCAUCACUACUCAUAACAGCACUUUUUUUGACACUAAUCACAUGCUGGGCAGUAUUCACUAUUUAUUAUGUAACAACCUUAUGGUAUAGAGAGAUAUUUUACUGACAGGGAGACUGAAGCAUGGAGUAGGUACCUAACUUGGCUAAGGACUCAGAGCUAAUAAGAGGUAGAGUCAGGAUUGAGUCCAGGUAUUUUGGCUUCAGAGUCUAUAGUCUUAUCAUUUGUAAAUAUAUAAUAUGUGGCUAAAGCGAAGCUUUUUUAUAUGAAAAAAGUAAAACAAGGUUAAUGAUGUUGGGAAAAAUCAUUGGAAGAUGCAGCAGUGUGUAUCAGAGCCUGGACUAGACUCCACAAGGCUUUAGGUCCAUUGCUGCUUCUGCUCCACAUAGAGUGUGCACUAGUGUGCAAAAACUUUGUGGAUGCACUUGGAUAAAUUAAGAGAAAUAUGUUUACACUACAAGAGGUGGUAAUGCUGCAGUCCUUUUUUUUUUUUUUUUUUUUUUUGCUUUUUAGGACCAAACCCAUGGCAUAUGGAAGUUUUCAGGCUAGGGAUUGAGUCGGAGCUGUAGAUGCCAGCGUACGCCACACCCAUCACCAGAUCCGAGCCAUGUGUUUGACCUACACCACAGCUCACAACAAUGCCAGAUCCUUAACCCACUGAGCAGAGCCAGGUUCAAAACUUGGAUUCAUUUCUGCAGUGCCACAAGGCUUGCUGCAUUCUUUUGUGCUGGUGAGACUAAUAGUGAGCAGUGAGAGGGUUCAGUUGUGUCUGUCUUCCUCUCCGAAUACAUCAGCUGGGGCCCAAAGUUAACAUAUCCAAAGGUAGAAAUGGUUUGUUUUUGUUGUUCCAAGCAAGGUCAAACUUGCAGAAAGGUGCGUUUGGUUGGGUGAGGAUGACCCAGCUAUCUCGAUGUCCUUUUACUAAUCACGGCAUACGAGGUGGUAGAGUCACAAAAUACCUCAUCGUCAGCUGCCUUAGAGACUAGCUUGACCUGCCCCAGGACUCGAUCUACUGUGAAAUGCAUUCAGGCACAGGGAAUAUCAGUGCAAAAACCCCAGGAUUUAUUCCUCUCUAAAAGGUGGCUUGGAGGAUGUCACACGUAGAAAGUGGACUGAUUCAUUUCCACUCCCAGCAUUGUUUCAAUCGAGCUUGGCACAAAGAUGAUCAAUGCUGACUCAGAGCUAUGUCCAGAUGGAGAGAGAGCCUUCUAAACUAUCACAUCCAACCCAGUCCUGGUCUACCACUCCCCCUCGAGUCUCUAGAAUCCUCACUGUCCUAUCUAUAGGGUGCACCCAUUCCAGAGGAUAAGACUCCACUCAUAUUUGGUCCUUUGCCUUCCCAGCAGGACCCCAAAACCCCCUCACCCUUUCAUCUAUGCAGACUGGCACAGAAGAAAUGAUUCUGAAAAAUAAACUAGCUAAUCAUUAGAUGAAAGCA
ensembl:lncRNA